AGCAGCCGCGGUAAUUCCAGCUCCAAUAGCGUAUAUUAAAGUUGCUGCAGUUAAAAAGCUCGUAGUUGAAUUUCGGGACCAAUAUGUCGGUCGUGCUUUUGUACGUACUGAUAUAAUUGGUUUCUCCCUUCUGAAGAACCUUGAUGUCAUUAAUUUGGUGUCUUGGGGAAUCAGGACUGUUACUUUGAAAAAAUUAGAGUGUUUAAAGCAGGCUCGCGCUUGAAUACAUUAGCAUGGAAUAAUGAAAUAGGACGUUUGAUUCUAUUUUGUUGGUUUCUAGGAUCGACGUAAUGAUUAAUAGGGAUAGUUGGGGGCAUUAGUAUUCAAUUGUCAGAGGUGAAAUUCUUGGAUUUAUUGAAGACUAACUACUGCGAAAGCAUUUGCCAAGGAUGUUUUCAUUAAUCAAGAACGAAAGUUAGGGGAUCGAAGACGAUCAGAUACCGUCGUAGUCUUAACCAUAAACUAUGCCGACUAGGGAUCGGAUGA
rnacentral:rRNA from 1 species